GAUGAACGCUGGCGGCGUGCCUAAUACAUGCCAGUCGAGCGAACAGAUGAGGAGCUUGCUCCUCUGACGUUAGCGGCGGACGGGUGAGUAACACGUGGAUAACCUACCUAUAAGACUGGGAUAACUUCGGGAAACCGGAGCUAAUACCGGAUAAUAUAUUGAACCGCAUGGUUCAAUAGUGAAAGACGGUUUUGCUGUCACUUAUAGAUGGAUCCGCGCCGCAUUAGCUAGUUGGUAAGGUAACGGCUUACCAAGGCAACGAUGCGUAGCCGACCUGAGAGGGUGAUCGGCCACACUGGAACUGAGACACGGUCCAGACGCCUACGGGAGGCAGCAGUAGGGAAUCUUCCGCAAUGGGCGAAAGCCUGACGGAGCAACGCCGCGUGAGUGAUGAAGGUCUUCGGAUCGUAAAACUCUGUUAUUAGGGAAGAACAAAUGUGUAAGUAACUAUGCACGUCUUGACGGUACCUAAUCAGAAAGCCACGGCUAACUACGUG
rnacentral:rRNA from 1 species